rnacentral:rRNA from 1 species
UACGGAGGAUGCGAGCGUUAUCCGGAUUUAUUGGGCGUAAAGCGAGCGCAGGUGGUUUAUUAAGUCUGGUGUAAAAGGCAGUGGCUCAACCAUUGUAUGCAUUGGAAACUGGUAGACUUGAGUGCAGGAGAGGAGAGUGGAAUUCCAUGUGUAGCGGUGAAAUGCGUAGAUAUAUGGAGGAACACCGGUGGCGAAAGCGGCACUCUGGCCUGUAACUGACACUGAGGCUCGAAAGCGUGGGGAGCAAACAGG